rnacentral:rRNA from 1 species
UACGGGGGGAGCAAGCGUUGUUCGGAUUUACUGGGCGUAAAGGGCGCGUAGGCGGCGUGACAAGUCACUUGUGAAAUCUCCGGGCUUAACCCGGAGCGGCCAAGUGAUACUGUCGUGCUAGAGUGCGGAAGGGGCUACUGGAAUUCUCGGUGUAGCGGUGAAAUGCGUAGAUAUCUGGAGGAACACCGGUGGCGAAGGCGGCAUCCUGGACCGGUAUUGACGCUGAGGCGCGAAAGCCAGGGGAGCAAACGGG